rnacentral:rRNA from 1 species
AGGGCAUACGGCGGAUGCCUAGGCGUUUCGAAACGAAGAAGGACGCGAUCAGCUGCGAUAAGCCAUGACGAGCUGCAAGUAAGCAUAGACUCAUGGAUUUCCGAAUGGGGCAACCCGGCAAGAGUAACGUCUUGUCACCUUAUCUACGAGAUAAGGAGAAAACACCCGAUGAACUGAAACAUCUAAGUAGUCGGAGGAAAAGAAAUCAAAGAGAUUCCCUGAGUAGCGGCGAGCGAAACGGGAAGAGCCCAAACCAAAUGACUUCGGUUGUUUGGGGUUGCGGACCUGCAACAAACUGGACACUUUAGUGGAAGCAUCUGGGAAGGUGCGGCAAAGAGAGUGAGACCCUCGUACACGAAAGAGUGAAAAGCGGGCAGGAAUCCAGAGUACCACAGGGCACGAGGAACCCAGUGGGAAGCAGGGUGGACCACCAUCCAAGGCUAAAUACAUCGAAACGACCGAUAGCGAUGAGUACCGUGAGGGAAAGGUGAAAAGAACCCCGGGAGGGGAGUGCAAUAGAACCUGAAACCGUAUGUCUACAAACAGUCGGAGCACUUUACAUGUGCGACGGCGUGCCUAUUGAAGAAUGAACCGGCGAGUUAAUUUAUGCUGCGAGGUUAAGCGGGAGACGCGGAGCCGAAGCGAAAGCGAGUCUUAAGAGGGCGUCAAGUAGCAUGGAUUAGACCCGAAACCACAGUGAUCUAUACAUGUCCAGGUUGAAGCUCAGGUAAAAAUGAGUGGAGGACCGAACCCGUGCAUGUUGAAAAAUGUUGGGAUGAGAUGUGUAUAGGGGUGAAAUGCCAAUCGAACGUGGAGAUAGCUGGUUCUCCCCGAAAUAGCUUUAGGGCUAGCCUCAGGCGAAUAACCAUAGAGACGGUAGAGCACUGAUCGGGCAAGGGGGCGUAAAGCCUACCGACCCCAGUCAAACUACGAAUGGCUCAUAUGGGCAGCCUGGGAGUCAGAAUGCGAGUGAUAAGACCCGUAUUCAAGAGGGAAACAGCCCAGACCGCCGGCUAAGGUCCCAAAUGCUGUGCUAAGUGGAGAAGGAUGUAGGACUUCGAAAACAACCAGGAUGUUGGCUCAGAAGCAGCCACCAUUAAAAGAGUGCGUAAUAGCUCACUGGUCGAGAGGCCCUGCGCCGAAAAUAUCCGGGGCUAAAGCACAGAACCGAAGCCGCGGCAAAGUUACUAUGUAACUUUGGGUAGGGGAGCGUUCUUAUCCGGACGAAGGUAGACCGGAAGGACUGCUGGACGGAUAAGAAGUGAGAAUGCCGGUAUGAGUAGCGAAACGACAGGUGAGAAUCCUGUCCACCGAAAGCCUAAGGUAUCCCGGGCAACGCUCGUCGUCCCGGGGUUAGUCGGGACCUAAGCCGAGGCGAAAAGCAUAGGCGAUGGACAACUGGCGAAAAUUCCAGUACCGGGCGUCUUCGUUUGAGGAUGGAGUGACGCAGGAAGGAAGCUGAGCACGCGAUUGGAUGUGCGUGUCGAAGGCGGUAGGCUAGUAUGGAGGCAAAUCCCCAUACUACAAGGCCGAGAACCGAUCGAUAGGAAAGACUACGGUCAAUCUGAAUUCAGCUGCACUACACUGCCAAGAAAAGCUUCUAACGAGAAGACGUCCGCCCGUACCAAAACCGACACAGGUAGGCGGGGAGAGAAUCCUAAGGUGCGCGGGAAAACCCUCGUUAAGGAACUCGGCAAAAUGCAUCCGUAACUUCGGGAAAAGGAUGGCCGCUGGUGGUGAAGACAUUUACUGUUGGAGCUGUUGGCGGCGGCAGAAAAGAGGCCCAAGCGACUGUUUACCACAAACACAGGUGCCUGCGAAAGCGCAAGCUGAAGUAUAGGUGCUGACGCCUGCCCGGUGCAGGAAGGUUAAGGAGAGUUGUUAGCCGUAAGGUGAAGCAGCGAACUGAAGCCCCUGUAAACGGCGGCCGUAACUAUAACGGUCCUAAGGUAGCGAAAUUCCUUGUCGGGUAAGUUCCGACCCGCACGAAAGGCGUAACGAUUUGGGCACUGUCUCAACGAGGGACCCGGUGAAAUUGAAAUACCUGUGAAGAUGCAGGUUACCCGCGACUGGACAGAAAGACCCCAUGGAGCUUUACUGCAGCUUGGCAUUGGUCUUUGGCAUAUAACGUACAGGAUAGCCGGGAGACUGGGAGGAUAGAUCGCUAGAACUAUCGGAGUCACCGUUGGGAUACCGGCCUUUAUAUGCUAAGGAUCUAACCGGAACAUUAACAGUGUUCGGGACAGUACCAGGCGGGCAGUUUGACUGGGGCGGUCGCCUCCGAAAGAGCAACGGAGGCGUCCAAAGGUUCCCUCAGCGCGGACAGAAAUCGCGCGAAGAGCAUAAAGGCAGAAGGGAGCUUGACUGCGAGACUGACGGGUCGAGCAGGUACGAAAGUAGGGCUNNNNNNNNNNNNNNNNNNNNNNNNNNNNNNNNNNNNNNNAGUUUUGCCUAACAAGAACAAUUUGCUUGAUAGUUUCUUCUGUGAAGUUUUGAGUGUACAAGCACUCAAGAAGAUGCGGUGAUGAUGCCUGAACGGUUCCACCUGUUCCCAUUCCGAACACAGCAGUUAAGCGUUCAGAGGCCGAGGGUACUUCGUUGGAGACGACGUGGGAGAGUAGGUAGUUGCCGCAAAAGAUAAGCUCGUGAUGAUUCGCGGGCUUUUUUCUACGCACUGAAAUUGGCUCGAUUGGGCUGAUUGGGAUGGCACUUGGUGCU